rnacentral:rRNA from 1 species
GAUAAACGCUGGCGGCGUGCAUGAGACAUGCAAGUCGAACGAAGGAUCGGGCUUGCUCGAUCCUUAGUGGCGGACGGCUGAGUAACGCGUAGGUGACCUACCCCGAAGUGGGGAAUAACUGCCCGAAAGGGUGGCUAAUACCGCAUGUGGUCGCACGUUCAUUCGUGCGAGUAAAGCCGCAAGGCGCUUCGGGAGGGGCCUGCGUCCGAUUAGCUCGUUGGUGGGGUAAUGGCUUACCAAGGCGACGAUCGGUAGGUGGUCUGAGAGGACGAUCACCCAGACUGGGACUGAGACACGGCCCAGACUCCUACGGGAGGCAGCAGUCGGGAAUUUUGCUCAAUGGGGGAAGCCCUGAAGCAGCAACGCCGCGUGAGGGAUGAAGGCCUUCGGGUUGUAAACCUCUUUUGUCAGGGACGAUGAUGACGGUACCUGGCGAAUAAGCCACGGCUAACUACGUG